GUGGGGAAUUUUGGACAAUGGGCGCAAGCCUGAUCCAGCAAUGCCGCGUGCAGGAAGAAGGCCUUCGGGUUGUAAACUGCUUUUGUACGGAACGAAAAGGCUCUGGUUAAUACCUGGGGCUCAUGACGGUACCGUAAGAAUAAGCACCGGCUAACUACGUGCCAGCAGCCGCGGUAAUACGUAGGGUGCAAGCGUUAAUCGGAAUUACUGGGCGUAAAGCGUGCGCAGGCGGUUUUGUAAGACAGACGUGAAAUCCCCGGGCUCAACCUGGGAAUUGCGCUUGUGACUGCAAGGCUGGAGUGCGGCAGAGGGGGAUGGAAUUCCGCGUGUAGCAGUGAAAUGCGUAGAUAUGCGGAGGAACACCGAUGGCGAAGGCAAUCCCCUGGGCCUGCACUGACGCUCAUGCACGAAAGCGUGGGGAGCAAACAGGAUUAGAUACCCCUGUAGUCC
rnacentral:rRNA from 1 species